GGGGAAUAUUGGACAAUGGGCGCAAGCCUGAUCCAGCCAUGCCGCGUGGGUGAUGAAGGCCCUAGGGUUGUAAAGCCCUUUCGGCGGGGAAGAUAAUGACGGUACCCGCAGAAGAAGCCCCGGCUAACUUCGUGCCAGCAGCCGCGGUAAUACGAAGGGGGCUAGCGUUGCUCGGAAUCACUGGGCGUAAAGCGCACGUAGGCGGCUUGCUAAGUCAGGGGUGAAAUCCUGGAGCUCAACUCCAGAACUGCCCUUGAUACUGGCGGGCUUGAGUCCGGGAGAGGUGAGUGGAACUGCGAGUGUAGAGGUGAAAUUCGUAGAUAUUCGCAAGAACACCAGUGGCGAAGGCGGCUCACUGGCCCGGUACUGACGCUGAGGUGCGAAAGCGUGGGGAGCAAAC
rnacentral:rRNA from 1 species